GACGAACGCUGGCGGCGUGCUUAACACAUGCAAGUCGAACGAAGUGGCGAACGGGUGAGUAACGCGUAAUCAACCUGGCCUUCAGAGGGGGACAACAGUUGGAAACGACUGCUAAUACCGCAUACUGAAGCAGGGGAUUGCGUCUGAUUAGCUAGUUGGGGGUGUAACGGCCCACCAAGGCGAUGAUCAGUAGGCGGUCUGAGAGGAUGAACGGCCACAUUGGGACGGAGACACGGCCCAGACUCCUACGGGAGGCAGCAGUGGGGAAUCUUCCGCAAUGGACGAAAGUCUGACGGAGCAACGCCGCGUGAGUGAUGACGGCCUUCGGGUUGUAAAGCUCUGUUAAUCGGGACGCGGUACCGGAAUAGAAAGCCACGGCUAACUACGUGCCAGCAGCCGCGGUAAUUC
rnacentral:rRNA from 1 species